rnacentral:rRNA from 1 species
UUGGACGUUUGAUCCUGGCUCAGGACGAACGCUGGCGGCGUGCCUAAUACAUGCAAGUCGAGCGGACAGAUGGGAGCUUGCUCCCUGAUGUUAGCGGCGGACGGGUGAGUAACACGUGGGUAACCUGCCUGUAAGACUGGGAUAACUCCGGGAAACCGGGGCUAAUACCGGAUGGUUGUCUGAACCGCAUGGUUCAGACAUAAAAGGUGGCUUCGGCUACCACUUACAGAUGGACCCGCGGCGCAUUAGCUAGUUGGUGAGGUAACGGCUCACCAAGGCGACGAUGCGUAGCCGACCUGAGAGGGUGAUCGGCCACACUGGGACUGAGACACGGCCCAGACUCCUACGGGAGGCAGCAGUAGGGAUCUUCCGCAAUGGACGAAAGUCUGACGGAGCAACGCCGCGUGAGUGAGAGGUUUUCGGACGUAAAGCUCUGUUGUUGGGAAAACAAUGCCGUUCAAUAGGGCGGCAACUGACGGUACUAACGAAAACCGAGUCAUC